CAACUAGACAGCUGUGGUUCACCAAAACAAAAAUAUUUUACACAGCCUCCGCUUUCCAUCCCACUCCGAACAAGGCUGUAAACAGCUGUCCUCUCCCUGCAGUAACAUCACAAUCAGAAAAGCCGACAUACCCUGACUCCUUGCUCCAGCCUGAGCAGAGCUGACUAGAGAUCCAGCACCAAGAACUACAUCCCAACCAGAGAGGCCUCCUGCCCUUCAGAGGUCAUAAAAACACAGUUUGAAGCAUAACCUUUUAAGUUUUAUUCUCACUAAAAACUUCUGAACCUAUGUUAUCACAUAAUUUUUUUCUCUUUCAAAAACUCACUACUGUACCUUAGAUACUCGCUAGAGUCCUGGAGACCGCAUAAGCUACAGCGUUAGCAGGGAGUGGCAAGCUCAGGUGGCAUCACUGAAGAGCAGAUGGGAUCUUUGUACUUUACUACUAACCUCAGGGCCCUCACCGCCAGGCCGAUGCUGCCACAUUCCCAUUUCCAGUUGGAGCCUGUGUUUCAAACAAGAGUCAGCCUGCUGACUGCUGAGUGUGGAGUGGAGAAAGACUCGCUGGUGCUGAGGAAUUAGUGUAUGACAUUCCACACAUGCGGUCUCUGCUUUCUUACAUGCCUUUCUUAUGCAGACUAAUUAAAUCCCUCAAAACAGUCACUGUCCACUUAAGAAAUGUCACAGUGGGGGUUGGGCAUUUAGCUCAGUGGUAGAGGGCUUGCCUAGGAAGCGCAAGGCCCUGGGUUCAGUCCCCAGCUCCGAAAGAAAAGAAAAAAGAAAUGUCACAGUGGAAUCAGAAUCUAAUGGACAAGGUGGAGUGUGGAGAUUUUUGUGUUAAACUGAAGAGGCAUUCAUGAGUUGUUGGGUUCACCAUGUGCUAAUCAAAACUUAAGAUGAACAGACACCUAAUUGAGCUCAGGGCUAGGGUUCUAUUCAGUUCUGAUGGAGCCCAAAGCCAAAUGCCCUAUGUUCAGGGAAAGUGGAGAUCAUGUCAAGGCCACAAAGGGAAGAGUAAGCAGCGAAGAAUGGAUCAUUGGUCUUAGUUUCAUCCACAGCCAAGAACAGGCAGAAGGCAUUCCCUUUCUUUACUGCCUAUGGGAUGUUGGGGUAGACAGGAUGGCUUUCUGUGGUGAGUCCAACAGGCAAGGACCCGCCCUUGCCAGGAAUAAGCUUGCCUCACACAGCUGCCAAAGUCAGAACUCCUGACUGUGUGCAGGAGAAUCUGGGAAUGACUGCUUUCCUUGAACACCCUCCUCUUUGCAAUCAGGCUCCAGGCAAGUCAAAAGCCCCACACCUUGGUGCUGGUUCCUUACAAAAUACACCUCAGAUCCAGCAAGACCUCUACUUUAAACAGAAAUACCUGGGGUCCAGUUACAAUCCAAAGUUGUUGUAGUCACAGGACUUCCAUGGGCCAGGUCUUUGAGCAGUUUCUCAGCAUUGGCAUUGCUUUGUGGACUGAUGUGUGGUGCAAUGUACGAUCUUUUAUAACCUCCCUGGCUCUGAUCAGAUCCCAAGGCCAUGACAUAAAAAUAUCCCCAAAGAUUACCAGGUGUCUGGAGGACCAAGGUCAUUCUCACAUAAGCACUGAAUUCAGUCUAAACACAAGGCCCACGUCGGGGUUUCACAUGACUGUUAAAUGCCACCAAAUGGGGAAAAAAUAUGAGCAAAGCAUUCCUGACUUUGGUCUCUGAGCAGCUCACUCUUUAGCACAGGCUACAGAGCCAGAGAGAUAGGGGGCCUUGAGGUGGCAGCUUGCCCAAGCAGGAAGGGUCAGGUCAGCAACUGCAGAGAAGUGUAUUGCUAGUCUGACAACUGUGUGACUAAAGGUCAUGUUACUAACCAACUGCCUCUCACUCUGCUGUACAUUCGACAUGUCAGAAGGCCGGGAAAUGGUGUCGGAUAAAGAACAUGCCUAUCGUGUGGGAAACCUGCUACUUGUUCUCAUUAAAUAAAGUGCUAUGACAUACUAA
rnacentral:lncRNA from 1 species